CAACAAGUAAAUACAAAGUUAUGAGUACCAUACCACCACAUAAUAAUACCAAGCAAAUCCAAAGUUAUGAGUACCAUAACCACAUAAAACAUGUAACAGGUAAAUACAAAGUGUUAUGAGUACCAUCACCACAUAAAACAUGCAACAAGUAAAUACAAAGUUACCAUCACCACAUAAAACAUGCAACAAGUAAAUACAAAGUUAUGAGUACCAUACCACAUAAAACUGCAACAAUAAAAUAAAAAGUUAUGAGUACCAUCACCACAAAAAACAUAUAACAAGUGCAACAAGUAGAUAUGAAGUUAUGGGUACGAUCACCCACAAAAAAAAACCAUGCAACAAGCAUUAUUUGUAUCGCUCAGCUACAGAGUUAUGCAAUUUAUAGAGGAC
rnacentral:lncRNA from 1 species